GCCGGAGUGGCGAAAUCGGUAGACGCAGUUGAUUCAAAAUCAACCGUAGAGAUACGUGCCGGUUCGAGUCCGGCCUUCGGCACCA
rnacentral:tRNA from 1 species